UACGUAGGGGGCUAGCGUUGUCCGGAAUCAUUGGGCGUAAAGCGCGCGUAGGCGGCCCGGUAAGUCCGUUGUGAAAGUCAAAGGCUCAACCUUUGAAAGCCGAUGGAUACUGCCGGGCUGGAGUCCGGAAGAGGGGAGUGGAAUUCCUGGUGUAGCGGUGGAAUGCGCAGAUAUCAGGAGGAACACCAAUAGCGAAGGCAGCUCGCUGGGACGGUACUGACGCUGAGGCGCGAAAGCGUGGGGAGCGAACAGG
rnacentral:rRNA from 1 species